AAAGGUUUGGUCCUAGCCUUACUGUUAAUUCUAAUUAGACCUACACAUGCAAGUUUCCGCAAUCCUGUGAGAAUGCCCUUAAAACUAAAUAAGAUAAAAGGAGCUGGUAUCAGGCACACUAAGAGUAGCCUAUUACACCUUGCUUAACCACACCCACACGGGAAACAGCAGUGACUAAUAUUAAGCUAUAAACGAAAGUUUGACUAAGUCAUAAUUAUUUAGGGUUGGUAAAUUUCGUGCCAGCCACCGCGGUCAUACGAUUAACCCAAAUUAACAAGACACGGCGUAAAGAGUGUUUAAAUCAAUAUAUAAAUAAAGUUAAUACUUAACUAAACUGUAGUACGUACUAGUUAAUACCAAAAUAAAUGAUAAAAAUGACUUUAAAAUUGUUGACACACGACAACUAAGAAACAAACUGGGAUUAGAUACCCCACUAUGCUUAGUUAUAAACUAAGAUAACUUAAUAACAAAGUUAUUCGCCAGAGAACUACUAGCUACCGCUUAAAACUCAAAGGACUUGGCGGUGCCCUAAACCCACCUAGAGGAGCCUGUUCUAUAACCGAUAAACCCCGAUAAACCCAACCCUAUCUUGCCAAUACAGCCUAUAUACCGCCAUCGUCAGCCCACCUUAAAAAAGUCACAAUAGUAAGCAAAAUUAUUAACCAUAAAAACGUUAGGUCAAGGUGUAGCAUAUGAUAUGGGAAAGAAAUGGGCUACAUUCUCUACUUUAGAGCAUAAACGAAUCACAUUAUGAAACUAAAGUGCCUGAAGGAGGAUUUAGUAGUAAAUUAAGAAUAGAGUGCUUAAUUGAAAUAGGCAAUAGGGCGCGCACACACCGCCCGUCACCCUCCUCAAUUAAACUUACUUAUAUAACUAAUUAAUUAAUUAAACCUAAAGAGGAGAAAAGUCGUAACACGGUAAGUGUACUGGAAAGUGCACUUGGAAUAU
rnacentral:ncRNA from 1 species